rnacentral:tRNA from 1 species
UAGAUACAAAGUACAAAAAGUGGCUGCUAACUUCUUUUUCAGCAGUUAAAUUCUGUUGGUAUCUAU